GACGAACCGUACGAACGUUAUUCGGAAUCACUGGGCUUAAAGGGUGCGUAGGCGGCGCGACAAGUUGGGUGUGAAAUCCCUCGGCUCAACCGAGGAACUGCGCCCAAAACUGUCGUGCUCGAGGGAGACAGAGGUGAGCGGAACUUAGGGUGGAGCGGUGAAAUGCGUUGAUAUCCUAAGGAACACCGGUGGCGAAAGCGGCUCACUGGGUCUCUUCUGACGCUGAGGCACGAAAGCUAGGGUAGCGAA
rnacentral:rRNA from 1 species